rnacentral:tRNA from 1 species
GCGUCUGUAGCUCAAUGGAUAGAGCGUCAGUUUCCGGAACUGAAGAUUGCGGGUUCGACUCCCGCCAGACGCA